UACGUAGGGUGCAAGCGUUGUCCGGAAUUAUUGGGCGUAAAGAGCUCGUAGGCGGUUUGUCGCGUCGAAUGUGAAAACCCGGGGCUCAACCCCGGGCCUGCAUUCGAUACGGGCAGACUAGAGUUCGGUAGGGGAGUCUGGAAUUCCUGGUGUAGCGGUGAAAUGCGCAGAUAUCAGGAGGAACACCGAUGGCGAAGGCAGCUUUCUGGUCCAUAACUGACGCUGAGAUUCGAAAGCGUGGGUAGCAAACAGG
rnacentral:rRNA from 1 species